AUUCGUUAUAUUUUCGCAAGGUGGUGCAUCACCUAAUGAUGACAGUCAUUCAGAAGAUGUUAACGAUUACGAGGGACUAAAUCUGCCCAGAGGAAAAGAACACGUGUAUGACCUGACCGAGAGAAAAGGUGAGGCAGUUCCUGAUAAACCGUUUAGUUCGACCACAACAGGUGCAACACCUCAUCAUGACACCCGCUCAGAGGAUGUAAAUGAAUACGAAGGAUUGAAUCUGCCAAGAGGAAAAGAACACGUUUAUGACCUAACCGAAAAACAAACGUUGGACAGUACUUGAACAACUGUCAACUUUAUCAAUUACAAACGGACGCCAAGAUAUGUCAGAGAUAACUACUAAGGACGGAUUUAAAUGUCUCAAAGAGAAGGCACAGAUCACCAGGCUAUCAUGUGACGACAAUAUUCUUGUCUGACUAUCCCUUAGAAAAUUAAGAACAUUGAUAAGUUUUUCAGGUCAUCCAUUAACAAAACAUCUUUGUCAUAUCAAGGUCACAUUUUGUUCCAAGGUCUUCCAUUAUAUCUUAGUCACUUAUCGUUUCAGGGUUACAAUUGUAUCGAGGUCUAAAUAUCUACCAUGGGAUUAAACUCGACGGCGCCAUUUUGAAAGGACUAAUUAGCGUAAUUUAAGAGUUUUCUGCUGUUAUCGGAGAAUCUGUGCGCAUGAAUAAUUAACGUCAAGUGAGUAUCUUGUCAAAACCUAGUCAGAAUAUUACAGAAAUACAGCAAAAUAACCAAUUUAUCUAUCUCCGCUUCGAUUGUGAAAAUCGGCAAGUUUCAAUGAGGUGAAAGAAAGGUUCGCACUGAUUGGUCAAAAACGGAAAACUUAUGUUCUCACUGCAAAGCCUAUAUUUGCACUGCGAAAUCAGAUUUUUCACUGCUCAUCGCUGCAAUGAAAUAUAAGUGUUAUCAGUUUGAUUAAUUUCUAUAUUUCACUUGCAAAAAUGCAAUAAAAUUAUCUAAAAUUAUAUCAAUGACAUGUCCCAUUUACAUAUAUAUAAUUGGUUAAGGUCGAGUAUGGAGGGCAAGAUGUCUAUGUUAUCAUUCACCUAUAUCUCAAUACGUUUGUAUAUUUUACAAUUUCAUGUUGUAAUUCUAAAAAUAAAUUUUCUUAUUCAUA